AGUUGGAGAGUGUCGCCGGCAAUGUCGCCCCCGCUGGCGGCGCUUUCCGGGGGACGGGUGAACAGCCCGUCCCUGCUUAUACCUUCCGUCCGGAGCAAGCCCCCCUCCGUCGGAAGGUCAGGCGGGCGGUGGAGUUCCCCCAGCUCCAUCGCCCGCUUUC
rnacentral:sRNA from 18 species